rnacentral:rRNA from 1 species
UACGUAGGGGGCAAGCGUUGUUCGGAAUUACUGGGCGUAAAGGGCGCGUAGGCGGCUUAUCAAGUCAGGCGUGAAAUUCCCGGGCUCAACCUGGGGGCUGCGCUUGAUACUGGGAGGCUUGAAUCCGGGAGAGGAAUGUGGAAUUCCAGGUGUAGCGGUGAAAUGCGUAGAUAUCUGGAGGAACACCGGUGGCGAAGGCGGCAUUCUGGACCGGUAUUGACGCUGAGGCGCGAAAGCCAGGGGAGCAAACGGG